rnacentral:rRNA from 1 species
AACGAACGCUGGCGGCAUGCCUAACACAUGCAAGUCGAACGAGACCUUCGGGUCUAGUGGCGCACGGGUGCGUAACGCGUGGGAACCUGCCCUUAGGUUCGGAAUAACUCCCCGAAAGGGGUGCUAAUACCGGAUAAUGUCUUCGGACCAAAGAUCUAUCGCCGUUGGAUGGGCCCGCGUUGGAUUAGCUAGUUGGUAGGGUAAAAGCCGACCAAGGCGACGAUCCAUAGCUGGUCGGAGAGGAUGAUCAGCCACACUGGGACUGAGACACGGCCCAGACUCCUACGGGAGGCAGCAGUGGGGAAUAUUAGACAAUGGGCGAAAGCCUGAUCCAGCAAUGCCGCGUGAGUGAUGAAGGCCUUAGGGUUGUAAAGCUCUUUUACCCGGGAUGAUAAUGACAGUACCGGGAGAAUAAGCUCCGGCUAACUCCGUG